rnacentral:rRNA from 1 species
AUUGAACGCUGGCGGCAUGCCUUACACAUGCAAGUCGAACGGUAACAGGUUAAGCUGACGAGUGGCGAACGGGUGAGUAAUAUAUCGGAACGUGCCCAGUCGUGGGGGAUAACGUAGCGAAAGCUACGCUAAUACCGCAUACGAUCUACGGAUGAAAGCGGGGGAUCGCAAGACCUCGCGCGAUUGGAGCGGCCGAUAUCAGAUUAGGUUGUUGGUGAGGUAAAAGCUCACCAAGCCUGCGAUCUGUAGCUGGGCUGAGAGGACGACCAGCCACACUGGAACUGAGACACGGUCCAGACUCCUACGGGGGGCAGCAGUGGGGAAUUUUGGACAAUGGACGCAAGUCUGAUCCAGCAAUGCCGCGUGCAGGACGAAGGCCUUCGGGUUGUAAACUGCUUUUGUACGGAACGAAACGGUGAGCUCUAAUACAGUUUGCUAAUGACGGUACCGUAAGAAUAAGCACCGGCUAACUACGUGCCAGCCGCCGCAGUAA